UGAAAAUUGAUCAUGAACUGAUUAGUUAAGAGAAGGAGAGGGGGCCAGACUCCAACAAAAGUCAGAUUUUGGUUGAAGUCAGAGAGAGGUUGUGAGAUUGCCAUCCCUUGACAUCUUUUUAAAAGUGAAUUGUUUAAUCACUUUUUUUUAAGCUGAUUUCUUAGCCAUCUUGCAGAAAUAUGAGGCAGGGGCACUUAUCCAUUAGGUACAGUAGGUAAGGUAACUAAGCCCAAUGACACCCUUAGCAGCCCAUGAAAAUGGUUUAGUUUCUUUCAUAAAAUGGUGCUGAAGAUAAUGAUAGUUGCAAAGGAAAAAAUACGGUAGACCAAUAUCAUAGUAUGUUACCAAGCAUAGGGCCUAUUAUUGGAAGCUAUUUCCAGUGCUCAGGAUAUUAACAUCUCCUGGAGCGUCUGCAAAACACAUCUUGAAGGCAGAACCAUAGUCCUCAAUUUGGCCUGCCUCUUUUAUUUGACAAUAAAGUUUUAUUUAUUUCUGAGCAUAAGAUUGGGAUUUUAUUUCUAGAAAAAGGGAGAAAAGGUGGAAGGAGGAGGAGGCAGGGAAAAGGUGGAAACUUGCCCAGGCCCAUAGCAGGAGCCCAACACAGGGAACACUUAAGCUUGUGUAGAGUACUUGUAACCAGAAGCCCGGAGGUGGAGCACAGCAGAGGAUGCAAUGUGCCACUGUCGCGGCCAGAGCCCAUGCAGUGUAAACAUUAACAUUCUUGGAUGCACUAAGCACUGGGCUGCGGUCUACACUUGCAUUCUGAGGUGGUGGAGUCAUGGCCAAAAUUUUGGAGUACUUGGACUUUUCUCAAGAAGCGUUGCACUUCUUGUCCGGACCGGGGAUUACCGCAGAUCGCAGCCCAGAGUCUGCGGAGGCGCACCGUUUCAUCAACAGCAGGGACUGAAACUUCAGCCCAGGAGAAGCCAAGAUGGCACCGUUAUCGCACCCUGGGAAUCGAGGACCGGGAAGAACUUAAUGAUGCGAUUCCUCCCGUGAUCUCAGUGAUUGUAUCAGGCGAAAACGAGGAGGGCAAAAUACCGUCCAGAUGUAAACUAGGAGCAGCCGCACCAGCAGCACCAGCAGAAUGCCGUGGUAGUGCGGCAGGCCCUGGCCCCAUGGACAAAGAGAAACUCGUCAGUGGCAGUGGCCACGAACUCAGAAAGCCUGAGGACAGUCAGCAGCUCCUCUGGCUCUUCACUUUCACACUGGUGCAACUACAGGAGCUGAAGAACAUUUUUCAACUCGUUCCAUACCCGGACGUGUUAGAUGGAGUCUCCCUCUGUCGCCCAGGCUGGAGUGCAGUGGCGCGAUCUCGGCUCACUGCAACCUCCACCUCCCGGUUUUAUGCGAUUCUCCUGCCUCAGCCUCCCGAGUAGCUGGGACUACAGUGGCCUCAGGGAUAUGGAAUUAAGAUCCACCUGGUGUGAUGAAUAAACCCAGACUCUCAGCAACGCAGGAAAAAAAAAACAAAAACUGGCUGGCGAUCUGGAGUAAAGGAUCCUCACAUCCACGUGAACCAGGAAACUCUGUGCCCAAAUCGACGAAAAAAAAACACUGGGAGAGCCGAACUAAAAGUCUUUUAGCACGGGUACCAGCCCUAGAAUUUCCAGUACACCAGCAGCAGCCUGGAAACCACAUCCUCAUCAAAAGACAGAAAGAAAAAAACUCGAGCCAGCCUGAGAAGGACCCUAUUUUAUGCUGUUAACCACUGAGACUGCCAUCCUCACAGCUGAGAAAGGAUGGACCCACCAUACUCAAGUCAAGAAAACAUCUUCCUCGUCAGAAUCAUGGGUUACUGUACUAGGAUUAAGCCUUACUAAGUUAAAGUUAAAGAAAGCUUAAUUUUCAUAUACCUUCUAUAUUGCUUCUUUUCCUUUCCUUAUUCUGUUACUAGCUCCUUUGUUAUUAAUGUAACUAAGUCUGAGUCACCUCAGACCAUUGCCUUUUAUGCUUGCUCUGUCAUACCUUGUGGAAAUGUAAAAGAUCAAUGACAGCUAGCCUUUUCACACAAUUAUUUAUGCCUCGGCCCUCUAAUUGACACAGUUACCCCUAGCACUCAUCGUUGUGAUCACCUGCAGCCAAGACGCUGAUUUUCUGCUCCUAUAGCCUGGCAACCUUGUGGUACAUGGGACUACGUCCUUUAAACUACCCAGGAGCAAAGUUGGACUUCCAUGAAAAAGGUUUGUGCAGAUCUAAAACCUCUCAUCUAUUUCACUAAAAGGACUUCCCCUUCUAACUGUCACCCUUACCAAUGUAACCCUGUCCUCUCUAUCACCACCUCCACCUGUCUUUAACUAACUCUAGACCUGUCCUUAAUUGCUUUUAUGGUAUUGGAAUAGGAAUUAAAAGAAAUUAAAGAAUGUGUAAGGAGAAACUCAGUUGUAUGUAAGAAAACCCAAUUCCCCCUGAGAAAGAGAAAGAGUUGGAGUCCUUUAAAAAUUAACUGCCUGUUUUUCUGUGGCUAGUGAGCCUUAUCUCUCCUCCUUUCCCAGACAUUGUGAAGACCCUGUUUCUCUAGCUGUGCAGCUGCAAGGUCACUAGACAGAUAAACUCAAGUUGUAAAACAUGUUUUUCCUUGAAAAGUAAGAAAUGCUGUAAUGCAUUUCUCAAUUAAUUAAAUAACUGUCUUUGUUUCUCGCUUCUGUAAUAUGCUUCCCCCUGCACAGAUCUCCACCCACCCUACAAAAUGCUUAAAAGGUAACUUAACUCUUUGUUCUGGGCUCAGUCCUUUGGGCUGAGUACUGGGCCGGUGCACCUAAAUAAUAAAUAUCUUCCUGAACCCC
rnacentral:lncRNA from 1 species